CCUACGGGAGGCAGCAGUGAGGAAUAUUGGUCAAUGGGCGCAAGCCUGAACCAGCCAAGCCGCGUGAGGGAUGAAGGUUCUAUGGAUCGUAAACUGCUUUUAUAAGGGAAUAAAGUGUGGGACGUGUCCUAUUUUGUAUGUACCUUAUGAAUAAGGAUCGGCUAACUCCGUGCCAGCAGCCGCGGUAAUACGGAGGAUCCGAGCGUUAUCCGGAUUUAUUGGGUUUAAAGGGUGCGUAGGCGGCAUUGUAAGUCAGCGGUGAAAGUCUGUGGCUCAACCACGGGAUUGCCUUUGAUACUGGGGGGCUUGAGUGUGUUUGAGGCAGGCGGAAUGCGUGGUGUAGCGGUGAAAUGCUUAGAUAUCACGCAGAACCCCGAUUGCGAAGGCAGCCUGCCAAGCCAUGACUGACGCUGAUGCACGAAAGCGUGGGGAGCAAACAGGAUUAGAUACCCGGGUAGUC
rnacentral:rRNA from 1 species